UACCUCAGUAACGGCGAGUGAAGCGGUAACAGCUCAAAUUUGAAAGCUAGCUCUUUUAGGGUUCGCAUUGUAAUUUGUAGAAGAUGCUUCGGGUGUGGCCCCGGUCUAAGUUCCUUGGAACAGGACGUCAUAGAGGGUGAGAAUCCCGUAUGUGACUGGGUGCUUUCGCUCAUGUGAAGCUCUUUCGACGAGUCGAGUUGUUUGGGAAUGCAGCUCAAAAUGGGUGGUAAAUUUCAUCUAAAGCUAAAUAUUGGCCAGAGACCGAUAGCGCACAAGUAGAGUGAUCGAAAGAUGAAAAGCACUUUGGAAAGAGAGUUAAACAGUACGUGAAAUUGUUGAAAGGGAAGCGCUUGCAACCAGACUUGCGCGCUGAUGAUCAUCCGGGCUUCUGUCCGGUGCACUCGUCUGCGCUCAGGCCAGCAUCGGUUUCGGUGGUGGGAUAAAGGCCUUGGGAAUGUAGCUCCUCUCGGGGAGUGUUAUAGCCCUCGGUGCAAUGCCGCCUAUCGGGACCGAGGACCGCGCUUCGGCUAGGAUGCUGGCGUAAUGGUUGUAAGCGACCCGUCUUGAAACACGGACCAAGGAGUCUAACAUCUAUGCGAGUGUUUGGGUGUCAAACCCAUACGCGUAAUGAAAGUGAACGGAGGUGAGAACCCUUAAGGGUGCAUCAUCGACCGGUCCUGAUGUCUUCGGAUGGAUCUGAGUAAGAGCAUAGCUGUUGGGACCCGAAAGAUGGUGAACUAUGCGUGAAUAGGGUGAAGCCAGAGGAAACUCUGGUGGAGGCUCGCAGCGGUUCUGACGUGCAAAUCGAUCGUCAAAUUUGCGUA
rnacentral:rRNA from 1 species